UUUGUAGGUGGUUGAUUGAGUCGGACGUGAAAUCCCUCGGCUUAACCGGGGAACUGCGUCCGAUACUGGUCGGCUUGAGUGCAGGAGAGGAACGCGGAAUUCCAGGUGUAGCGGUGAAAUGCGUAGAUAUCUGGAGGAACACCGGUGGCGAAGGCGGCGUUCUGGACUGCAACUGACACUGAAAUACGAAAGCCAGGGGAGCAAACG
rnacentral:rRNA from 1 species